UGGUAUGAGAGCUGUGCACCCCAGUGCGCAUGUCCGUUUCCGGUUAGCGCGCAUCUACCGCUACCGCCAAACUCAUCCAAACAAGAGGUCAAAGUCGUGCACCUGGUCCCAGUGCUCUCACCGAAGGCUGCCUUCAACGUUGAUUUCGGUGGUAUGAGAGCUAAAAUCAACAAGCCGACACAGAAGAAAGGAGACAAGCCUACCUUAGGUGGUGUCUGUGACAGUGAAGUUGGUGGCAGUUGGGAAAGAGGUACCCUUGGUCACCAGGACUGUAUUGGCCACCAGGGUACCAGAUAAAUGUCUUACCCAGCCAGACCAACUCGGCAGCAGCCGCAGCAUUUCGUCCCACUACACCUCCUCCCUCACUGCUGCUUCAUUGAUAAGAAACCUUGAGUAGACUGGACCAAAGUCCUUCCGAGACGAAUAUAGACAACUGUUUGGUGCCAAUCGCUCGAUCGCUUCCUCACAAACCAAUGACAUCACCACAGCACGCACUGCUGUCCUGCACUGUCUGCCCCUGUGUCUUGGAGAUAAUUCCAGUGAAUUCUUCCUCAGCUGCUCAGAUUCGGACUCUGCAUGUGACUUCACCCAGGUGCCUGUUGGAGUUCUUAGAAUCAUGACUGAGGAUACGCCAUCCUUGAUUAACAGCGUUGCAAUCAUCCUUGAAGGAAACAUUGUCAUGGAUGAGAUUCCCACAAUCUCUCAAGCACUUUGUCUUCUGUUCAGCUUAAUGUAUGCACACCAUCUGGAUUACCCCAAAGGUAUGAAGAACACAUUUGAGUUCAUCCAGAAGAUAUUGUUGAACCUCGGACAACAGUAUGUGAUAUUUAGUAUUAGAGUGUAGUGUGCUUCUGCAACAAAUGUUGAAUAUAUCAAAGUUGUUAAAGAGCUGACUUAGAUUUUGCUGCUUUGAAGGUGUAUGUCCAAGUACAGUUCUAUGUAACAGUUCAGUUUUAAUUAUCAGGUUUUAUUCAGAUUUUAAAUUUUUACGGACUAAAUGUUGCCAAGUCUGUUUGUUGUGGUGAAACAUUCAGGAAAGUGUCCAUAGUGAAUCAAGGGCCUUCUGUUAGCUUAUACCCAGACCAGUCAGCACACCUCACUCAUGCUCAUUCUCACUUUUAAGUCUCACUCAUACAUCACAUACUGAUUUUCACACAAACUCCAAGGAAGGAUUUGCCUCUAAUUGGCGUUAGCAUCAUUUAUUCCCCCCGUUUGCUCUCCUCUCGUCACUGACCGGCCUGGUUCUCUGCUAACAGAAGGGUUUGGACUAGGGCUGAACAAUUAAUCGCAGUAUUAAAAAAAAUUGCCAUAAAAUUGCUGUAUAUUAAGUUAAUGUGACUUAUCUUUAUUGAGUUUCUGUCAACUUUAUUGAAGUUUAUUAGACUAAGAUACCUCAGGUGAAGUAUAUUACAAAUUUCAAGUGAUGUCUGCUUGUUUUGGCAGAAUAUAUUAAGUUAAUGUGACACAGAGUAUUUGAGUUGCAACAACUUGAUUUCAAUUUAACUGUACUGAGAUACAUUAAGUUCUUACAACUUCAGAAAUAAGUAAAGCUCACUUAAAUAUAAUAAUUUCUCACUACUUCACACAAUUAAGUUCGUUUACUUACUUUUCCCAAGGUAAUCGGUUUCCUAAAUUUCUUUAAGUAAACUCAACUUGUUAGAAUUUAUAGUGUAUACGUGGUGUAUAUGUACAGGUCCUUCCAUAUAUUCUAUAUACUAUAUAGUAAAAUGAGUUGCAGAAGGGGCAGAACUGACAAGUUGAAUAGUUUUCAGGACUUCUGUAUGAUGAAAGUAGCAUGUACUGUUUUAUUUUUAGGUAAUUUUUAUGUCCCAGCCUAUCUUUUUAAUGGGUUGAUGUCACACCUAAGGAAACUAUAUGUGCACUAAUGUAAAAAUGUUUGAACUGAACAUUGUGCAAAGUUGCCUGAAACUAUUUCAAAAUAACCACAUUAGCACGUUAAAAAUAACAAGAGUGUGAGGGGAAAAAAGCAUCUCUUGCAGAAAUCAGCGGGUGACAAGGAAAAGACAGGAGGCAAUGUUCUUAUAAGGAGGGGAAAUUUUAUUUAUAACACAUGAUGCUGACAGGGAGUCUCCAGCUCAGCGUCUAUAUUACAAGGUUGAUCUGCAAGGCUGCGCAUUUACUGUACGGUAUUUGGAAACCAAGAUUGCAGUGGCACUAUAAACACACGCUUGAAACAACA